rnacentral:lncRNA from 1 species
CACCACCCAGGUUCCCCUUAACUCACAGUAUUUUCAGAGCAGAAAGGGAGAAAACCAAAUUGCAUCACUGGAGGUGCUGGAGCUGAGAAGGAAGACAAGUCUAAUAAAGAACUCAGAGGCGGCCUCCAAUUGAGUUCACCUGCUGGCUCCACUCAAGCACCUGUGUGAAGAGCUCCUGCCACCACUCCUGUAACGCAGGGAUCUCCAGCUGUUGGAACCUUGCACAGCACACCACUGUUAGGAAAGAGCUAUGAAAAAAAAUGUUCCUGGACGUCUACUGUCUCUAGAAGUGGAGGAGCCAUCAAUUCAUCUUUGCAGAUUUCCUUUGUUUCGAGAAAAAUACCAGAAUGGACAACUUUAGUAAUGAGAGGUAAAUAUCCAGUACAAAUACAUAUAAACAUUACAUAUGCCAAUGCAUUUAAUC